GCAUAUCAAUAAGCGGAGGAAAAGAAACCAACAGGGAUUGCCCUAGUAACGGCGAGUGAAGCGGCAACAGCUCAAAUUUGAAAUCUGGCCUUCGGGUCCGAGUUGUAAUUUGUAGAGGAUGCUUUUGGUGCGGUGCCUUCCGAGUUCCCUGGAACGGGACGCCAUAGAGGGUGAGAGCCCCGUCUGGUUGGACACCAAUCCUCUGUAAAGCUCCUUCGACGAGUCGAGUAGUUUGGGAAUGCUGCUCUAAAUGGGAGGUAUAUGUCUUCUAAAGCUAAAUACCGGCCAGAGACCGAUAGCGCACAAGUAGAGUGAUCGAAAGAUGAAAAGCACUUUGAAAAGAGGGUUAAAUAGUACGUGAAAUUGUUGAAAGGGAAGCGC
rnacentral:rRNA from 1 species